GAGGGGUUAGUUAAAUAAUAACACUGCCUUGUCAAGACAGAAUUACUAGUUAAAUUCUUGUACCCCUCU
rnacentral:tRNA from 1 species